AACUAACGCUGGCGGCAUGCCUAACACAUGCAAGUCGAACGAGACCUUCGGGUCUAGUGGCGCACGGGUGCGUAACGCGUGGGGACCUGCCCUUAGGUUCGGAAUAACUCCCCGAAAGGGGUGCUAAUACCGGAUAAUGUCUUCGGACCAAAGAUUUAUCGCCUUUGGAUGGGCCCGCGUUGGAUUAGCUAGUUGGUAGGGUAAAAGCCUACCAAGGCGACGAUCCAUAGCUGGUCUGAGAGGAUGAUCAGCCACACUGGGACUGAGACACGGCCCAGACUCCUACGGGAGGCAGCAGUGGGGAAUAUUGGACAAUGGGCGAAAGCCUGAUCCAGCAAUGCCGCGUGAGUGAUGAAGGCCUUAGGGUUGUAAAGCUCUUUUACCCGGGAUGAUAAUGACAGUACCGGGAGAAUAAGCUCCGGCUAACUCCGUG
rnacentral:rRNA from 1 species